CUGAAUUGUUUGUAGCCAUAUUGGAUUGGGCAUAUUUAUGUUUAGUUCUGCCUCCCAUUGUUCUAUGUAUUUGUGUUUGCAUAGUGGGUCAGCGUCAUUUAGUGCCGUGUAGCAUAGGGAUAGUGGUUUUAGUUGUGGACGUUUGCCUAUACGGUAUAGCCCAAAGUUUGUUAGUUGUGUUUCAUUGCAAUGGCGGGUUUGUAGGGAUUGGAGAAUGUGUUUGGUUCUGAUGUAUGUGAAAAUGUCCCUAGAGGGGAGUGCAUAUUCCUGUUGAAGUAUUGGGAAUGGUCUGAGGCCCGUCUCUGAAUAUAGUUGGGCCACCGAGGUUAUUCCCUGUUGUCGCCACGUUUCCAUAUUUAUAUCGUCUGCUAGUUCUGAGAUUAUUUGUAUCAGGGCGAAGUAUAUAAUGUUGUUUGUGCCGGUGAGUGGACUUGCCCAUUUAUCCAGCUGCUAAUUAAGAAUCUCGUACUGGCCAUAGGUUUGUG